CCUACGGGAGGCAGCAGUGAGGAAUAUUGGUCAAUGGGCGCGAGCCUGAACCAGCCAAGUAGCGUGAAGGAUGACUGCCCUACGGGUUGUAAACUUCUUUUAUAAAGGAAUAAAGUGAGGCACGUGUGCCUUUUUGUAUGUACUUUAUGAAUAAGGAUCGGCUAACUCCGUGCCAGCAGCCGCGGUAAUACGGAGGAUACGAGCGUUAUCCGGAUUUAUUGGGUUUAAAGGGAGCGUAGAUGGGUUGUUAAGUUAGUUGUGAAAGUUUGCGGCUCAACCGUAAAAUUGCCAUUGAUACUGGCAGCCUUGAGCACAGUUGAGGUAGGCGGAAUGCGUGGUGUAGCGGUGAAAUGCUUAGAUAUCACGCAGAACUCCGAUUGCGAAGGCAGCUUACUAAGCUGCCACUGACAUUGAUGCUCGAAAGUGUGGGUAUCAAACAGGAUUAGAUACCCCAGUAGUC
rnacentral:rRNA from 1 species